GAUGAACGCUGGCGGCGUGCCUAAUACAUGCAAGUCGAGCGAACGGACGAGAAGCUUGCUUCUCUGAUGUUAGCGGCGGACGGGUGAGUAACACGUGGAUAACCUACCUAUAAGACUGGGAUAACUUCGGGAAACCGGAGCUAAUACCGGAUGAUAUUUUGAACCGCAUGGUUCAAAAGUGAAAGACGGUCUUGCUGUCACUUAUAGAUGGAUCCGCGCUGCAUUAGCUAGUUGGUAAGGUAACGGCUUACCAAGGCAACGAUGCAUAGCCGACCUGAGAGGGUGAUCGGCCACACUAGAACUGAGACACGGUCCAGACUCCUACGGGAGGCAGCAGUAGGGAAUCUUCCGCAAUGGGCGGAAGCCUGACGGAGCAACGCCGCGUGAGUGAUGAAGGUCUUCGGAUCGUAAAACUCUGUUAUUAGGGAAGAACAUAUGUGUAAGUAACUGUGCACAUCUUGACGGUACCUAAUCAGAAAGCCACGGCUAACUACGUG
rnacentral:rRNA from 1 species